ACUAACUUCAAAGGUAGAAAUAGUCAAGCAUACAAAAAGCAUCAUUUUAAACUUUAUUAAACUUCUUUUACUCUCACUUUGUAAGUUUUGGAUAAAUUUAUUUUUUAAGUUAUUUCAUGAUGGAGUCUCGCUCUUUCAUUCAGGCUGCAGUGCAAUGGUGUGAUCUUGGCUCACCGCAACCUUCGCCUCCUGGAUUCAAGUGAUUCUUCUGCCUCAGCCUCCCGAGUAGCUGGGAUUACAGACGCUUGCCACCGCACCCGGCUAAUUUUUGUAUUUUUAGUAGAGACAGGUUUUCACCACGUUGGCCAGGCUGGUCUCGAACUCCAGACCUCGUGAUCCACCCGCCUCAGCCUCCCAAAGUACUGGGAUUACAGAUGUGAGCCACCGCACCCGGCCUUUUUUUUUUUUUUUUUUUUUUUUUUUGAGAUGGACUCUUGUUCUGUCGCCCAGGCUGGAGUGCAAUAGUACGAUCUCUACUCACUGCAACCUCCACUCCCGGGUUCAAGCAAUUCUCCUGUCUCAGCCUCCUGAGUAGAUAGGAUUACAGGUGCCACCACACCCGGCUAAUUUUUGUAUUUUUAGAAGAGACGAGACUUAGCCAUGUUGGCCUCAAACUCCUGACCUCAAGUGAUCCACUUGCCUUGGCUUCCCAAAGUGCUGAGAUUACAGGCGUGAGCCACUGUGCCUGGCCUACAGAUAAAAUUUUUUUAAAAAAAGAGAUGGAGGUCUCACUGUUUCCCAGGCUGGAGUGCAGCGGUGCAAUCCUGGCUCACUGCAGCCUUGACUUCUGACCUCAAGUGAGCCUCCCGCCUCAGCCUCCCAAGUAGCUGGGAUUACACGAGCAAGCCACCACGCGCGGGUCCCAGACAUCAUUUUUAUGCAGGGUUUCCUCCAAGGUUUUCCUGGUGUCUUUGCAAAAGCUCAGGAUCGGACUUUGUCAGCAAGGUGGGUCCCUCCUCUCGGCAUAGCAAGCUUGUUUCUACCCUGGUCCCGAGAACCUCAGAGGCUGAAGCUUGAGUCCCCACCUGAAGGUAAGUUCUCAGUAGGGGAGCAGAGCCUUGGCAGCCAAGUGGAGUUGCCCAAGUGUUCGAGACCCAGGCAUGCUGGGAGUAAAAGCAUUCCUAUGAAGAACUUGACAACGGGGAGCAGGAAUCUGCUUUGGAAAGCGAGACCCCAGUUCUGAGACCUCUUCACAUAGCUUAGGGCUGAAGCCGGAGGGUCACGUGGAGGGUGGCAGCUCCCAAGGUCCAUGUACCUGGGGCUGGGCAUGGUGGCUCAUGCCUGUAAUCCCAGCACUUUGGGAGGCUGAGGCGGGCAGAUCACCUGAGGUCAGGAGUUUGAGACCAACCUGGCUAACAUGGCAAAACCCUGUCUCUACUAAAAAUACUAACAUUACCUGGGUGUGGUAGUGGGUGCCUAUAAUCCCAGCUACUCAGGAGGCUGAGGCUGGAGAAUCGCUUGAACCCAGGAGGCAAAGGUUGCAGUGAGCCAAGAUCGCACCACUGCACUCCAGCCUGGGCAACAAGAGCAAAACUCCAUAAAAAACCCAAGGUCCAUGUGCCUGAAAUGGUCCCAGCCCGCUGGGGGACACAGCAAACAUGGGUUUGCUGGGUGGUCACGUUGAGGGAUCAUCUAGGUUUCAGUUGAGUGGAAGGUUUGCUAGGAGGAGAAAGAGGCUCUUGCUUUAGGGAGUACAAGUUUGUGGGCUCAGGGCCAGAGCAUGUCCCUGGUGCUCAGAGGACAAGCCCGGACCACACUGUCCCUGGAUCCUACGCUAUAGUCAAGCCAUAGAAUUUGCUUUCUUUGGGGUGGGGGUUGGGGGGGAGCCAAUCUUUUUUUUUUUUUAAGUGACUGAUCUCGGCAUUCUGCAACCUCCGCCUCCUGGGUUCAAGCAAUUCUCCUGCUUCCACCUCCCGAGUAGCUGGGAUUAUAGGCGCCCACUACCACAUCCGGCUAAUUUUUGUAUUUUUGGUAAAGAUGGGGUUUUGCCAUGUUGGCCAGGCUGGCCUCAAACUCCUGACCUCAGGUAAUCCACCUGCCUCAGCCUCCCAAAGUGUUGGGAUUACAGGCGUGAGCCACCACGCCUGGCCAGAGUUUGCUUUCUUAAACUGAGUUUUUUGUUUCUCCUUCUCACGUCAAAGACCAAACAAAACGGGUGUGAGAGAGACAUUCAGAACCGCCACGCACAGUAGAGGGUGAGCCGGCACUCACGCCCAGGGCUCCCGAGCACCAGACAGGGUCUUCUUCCACUGUUCCAUAAUCAUGGCUAAGACUUGGCCCGUCCCACCUUCUCCGCCUUCAGCCCUCCCCAUGGCUUCCCUUUCACCAGGGGAAGGACUUUGAUAGGAGCCCAUGGGGAGAAAACCCAGUAAAAUGCAUGUAUAUUCUUAUGAAAUAUUUACAUGUGAAACAGCACCAAUUUAUCGUUGAAGAAAUUAGAAAAUAUCAAUAUGUUAAGAAAAAAAUCCGCCCAGUGAGGCAGCUCAUGCCUGUAAUCCCAGCAACUUUGGGAGGCUGAGGCAGGAGGAUCACUUGAGCCCCUAGGAGUUCGAGACCAGCCUGGGCAACAUGGUGAAACCCUGUCUCCACAAAAAAUACAAAAAUUAGCCAGGCAUGGUAGUAUGUGUCGUAGUCCCAGCUACUUGGGAGGCUGAGGC
rnacentral:lncRNA from 1 species